ensembl:lncRNA
AUGAACAAUCCUGAGCACGUCUGCCACCGGAUACAUGGAGUACCCAGAAAAUCUAUCUCAGUAAUGGAAAAACACAGUAAAACACAUUCCUAUAGGCAGAAUGAACCACAUUCUAGAAGGAAGCCAGCCUGGACCAAAGCCCGUUGCAAAGAAGAAUCUGAAAAAAUUAAGAAGCACACAAUGCAUGGAAAUUCACUUGAUGCCAGACUGAAUUGGAUACAUUUUUCAAUUCAGAAAAUUAUAACCAAUGACUUCACCCUUUUUGCUAAUUUUUUCCACUCUAAUCUUUAUAGAGACUCUUUGGCCUGGAAAGAUGAAUUGAGUUAAAACGUUGGCAAAGUCCUCUGACAGCACAUAGCACACUAGCACACUCUGAUUUAGACAAAACUGUUUUGGGGAAACUACCAAAGGCUGUAAAAAGUGACCAUUUAUAGACAAAGUAAAGAAAGUAAAAGGAAGCAUAAUAUUCUAGUCAGGGUAGUAUUAAAAUAUGUGUGCGUGUAAAAUUUAAUUCUCUCUGAGCAAUUUUAGUGGGUAAACCCUUAGCGCAUUAAUGGUAAUGGGUAAGUCCAGGCUCUGUUUAUCCUAAAUUCAGACUGCUAAAGAAAAGAAAGAUUAGUAUGGUAAAGGCAUCACUAUUUCUAAUCGGACUGAUGGGAAAAUGUAGUAUUGGGUGUAAGAGGUAAUGUCAAAUGAAUUAUAGUGAAGUGAUGAACUACCUUGAAGCUGAGGCAAUCAAAUAGAUAGCUCUAAAAAUGACUACAGCAUCUUUAUUCAACAGUUUGGAGCAAGUGUCCUCAUCUUGGCCUUCUUUACAAAGAGCAGAAGCACUCUGUAUUUGGUGAAAUUAAAUCUUAAUAAGAGAGCCUCAGCUGAGGCUGCUACCCUUCACUUACCAAAAUUAAACACUCAAUGUUCAUUCUCCCAUCUAAGAGGAGAAGGUGGUAUUUUGAUAUUAUUGUUGAUUCACACAGUUUAAAAUGCAAGGACAGAGUUAGCAAACACUAGAACGAAUUCAGUCACAAAUUUGUGUCUUUGCAUUGCAUACAUUUUUAAAUUAAUAAUUGGAAACAUUUGUUACUCAUUCUUGCCUUACUGUAUAAAUAAUUAAACAAGCAAUUAUUUUGUCUUCAGAAAAAAGAUAAUUAUCUCUAAAUGAUUGUGAUUAAAUAGGAUAAAGUCAAGAUGUUUUCAUAAUUGGCAGAGUAAAACAAAUACUCCCUACUGGAGUAUUUUAAUAAUUUGUUUUUGUCUGAUUACAUAAAAAAUAUCAAAACAUGGAAUACAAAGAAGCAACUCCCAAAAAGAUAUUCACAAUCAUAUCACUCAAAUAAGACCACCGUUAACAUUUUUCCAAUAUAUAAAAGUAUGCAUAUUAAUAUAUAAACAUAUGAAAGUGUGCUUUUACACACAGACAUAUCAAUAUAAGCAUUCAUGUAUGUAUAUAUAUAUUAUUUAAUGAAAUCUGAAUAUACAGAUUGCUUUGCAUUGAGCUUCCUUUUUUAAAAAAUAUAUUUUAGGCAUUUUUUCUUAUUAAUAGGUAAAGACUUAUGUUAACAUUUUUAAUGCCUGCAUUAUAUGUUUAAUCAUUUAUUUAACUUAGCAAAUAUUAAUGAAAGUUCAAGUUGUUUUCAACAUUUCACCUUUACAAAUAGGAUUAAUGUAUCUUUAAAUUAAAAACUGAAGUCACACCCAAAUAUAUAACACUUUAUUUAGACUACUUUACACGGUGGCUCAUAAAUGCCAGAUGAAGGCUCUAAUGGGUAAUAAUACUUUAUACACUUUGGAAACAGCAUUAUCCUUUGGUAUUAGAUAUACAUUUUGCUAUUGGCUUAGAAUAUUUCAUCGUUCCCUUUGUGUAUUCCUUCAAAGGAGUUAAAAGGUGGAUAAUAGUAUCUGCAUUUAAUAUAUUAACCUCCAAGUUGAAGCAUUCAGAGUUGUAAGUGGAGUGGAGGAAAUAUUCACACUAAAUCUAAGGAACUUAAGUUCCUUGAAUCUGUCCUGUGUGCUAUUUCCAAUGGAUGGGUGGUUCUUUGUUUGAGAGGAUAUCAGGGACAUCCUAACCAGCAUGAUUUCUCAUUCCUGCCUCUUGCAUUCGAGUACAGUAAUCUUUGUUUUCUUUACUCAAUACCUCCUUUAAAUUUAGUUGAAAAAUGCAAGAAUGCCUUCUAUUAUUCUCACUUCAACUAUAACUAUGUUUCUAUUCUAAAACAUAUUAGAUACAGUAUUUGUUGAAUGCUAAUUUUAUGAUCUUGAAUUUUAUGAGAUUAUCUCUAUCCUUGUUUAUCCUGUAAACUUUGAUAACCAUAACCAGAGACCCUAGAUUCUAUUUCUUUGGGAGCCCCUAAAGAUGACACAUACUUCAAAUAAUGUGCAUGUCUAGCACACUAUUUUAAAUGAUAUUGUAAAAAUAUAGUAGAAAGAAGCAUUUUAGCUCUUGGAUACCAUUAGUAUUUUUGAUUUUAUUUUAAAUAACUAUUUGUUGUAUUAAUUAAUUUCAAGAUGAAUAUUACAGAUUUUUGUCAGUUUUACUUCUUAAUGUAUUUUUGAACUAUUUUGGAGAAGACAGUGGGAAAAUAAAACCCAUUAUUUUUAGAUGUUAGAAACCA